GGCCGGGUGAUGUAAUGGUAACACAUCCUGAUAUCUUGUCAGUGAGUACUGAAAAAUCGGAGGAAAUACCUUGUUCGAAUCAAGGCUCGGCAA